CAGGGGUCUCAACCGUUGUUCGGAUUCAUUGGGCGUAAAGGGUGCGUAGGCGGCGGAGUAAGUCAGGUGUGAAAUCUCGGGGCUCAACCCCGAAACUGCACUUGAUACUGCUUCGCUCGAGUACUGGAGAGGAGACUGGAAUUUACGGUGUAGCAGUGAAAUGCGUAGAUAUCGUAAGGAAGACCAGUGGCGAAGGCGAGUCUCUGGACAGUUACUGACGCUGAGGCACGAAGGCCAGGGGAGCAAACGGGAUUAGAUACCCCGGUAGUCCUGGCAGUAAACGGUGCACGUUUGGUGUGGGAGGAUUCGACCCCUUCCGUGCCGGAGCUAACGCGUUAAACGUGCCGCCUGGGAAGUACGGUCGCAAGAUUA
rnacentral:rRNA from 1 species